rnacentral:lncRNA from 1 species
CAAAUUAACCGCCAGCUGUUGAGAGAUGUGGUAGUGAAAUGCGACAAGGAGGGGGAAGAUCGUGUCGGCGACUUGGAUAUUACUCUGCAUUCUUUGCAGGAGAGCAUUAUUCCAUUUUCUUUCUUUUCGAUGCAAGAAGAAGAUGCCCUUCUUUUUGAUGCAAGAAGAAGAUGAUGCCAAAAAGGAGCAUCCGUUCAUCACAGGGAUGUAGGACUCUUGGUUUCCUGCACGUCAGCACCUGUCUUAUUAUCUUGUGUUCUUGGUAGUAGCACUUUCUCUAUAUCACUAGUAUCAUUUCGGAUCUUCUUACGGGUAACUGGUAUAUAUGGUCUCAACAAUGAAGUAUGAAGAAUCUCCCCCCGCAAAAAAAAAAGUAUGAAGAAUCUAUGUUUUUUUUUGUUUGAUAGCUUACCAGGCUUGCUGCCUGGUACGAAGAAUCUAUGACUGUAUAUAUACUCCUUAAUUUUCUUUAUUUAUGAAACCAAAUAUUUCUGUGUGCGUGAUCAAUUUCUGUUCAUCGCACAAAAUGUAGUUAUAUCCCUCCUUAAUCAUCUUCAUCACAUGGUGAAAGUCAUGCAGUGAUUGACUAAUGCGAUAUAACUAAUUAGAAAGAUACAUCAAUUAUGGUCAACGUUUGUAUUAGUAGCCGCAACGUCUCGAGAUCUCCUUUCUUUUUCCUAUAUUAUGAUGGAAGAUCUAAAAUCUUGGCAUCGUCACAGGUCAGGGUGGACGACACGAGCGGUCUUUAGGACCGGCUCAUGGCCCGCUCGGUCCGACCAGGCUCGGUCCUGGCCCGGCAUAAAUUCCAGCCGGUCCGGGCCCUACAAACGGGACCAAAAAUCCCACGGUCCGAUCCGGUUAAAGCUCGGUCCGACCGAGAGGACCGACGAACACGAGCUAUGGCAUGGCGGGGGCGUGACAGGGGCAUGUCGGGACGAGGCGGGGGCGUGUCGAGGUCGUGGCGAGCGCGUGGCCGGAGCUGCGUGGCGGGCGCGUCGGUCGUGCGCUAGUCAGCACCACCGUCGUUCAUCCGCGCGGCCACGGGCCUCCAUGACGCUGGCAAGCAUGUCUACUGGAUGCUCCAUGCUCAGAUCUAUCACCUGGAAGGUAGAACUUGAAGCGGGAGGCCCUACACCGCCGCUGUACACCGGCCGUCGUGCCAGAUUCUUCAUCGCUGUUGCUACCUGAGCUCUGCAUGGCCGCUGUGUCAUCCACCAUGAGUCACAGAAGUCGCCGGACACCUCCACGACGAGCCCCGCUGCCUCCAGCGCCCUCCUGCGUCGCCGGGCUUUCGUCGCUGCGGUCCGGUCCCUGAAAACAGGACCGCGACGCUGCUCGGUCCGGUCCGGUCCAGACCAUCGACGUCCGGUCCAAACGACGGCUCGGUCAGGGACCGGACCGGCCCGGACCGUGUCCACCCUGAGUCACAGGCCAGGCUGGGAGUUUCAAACUCCUUCCAGAAAAAGGCAUAGCAGGUGAAAAUAUAGAUUGAGAACUCCUAAACAAAGGCAACAAUUUAAGUACUCCACCAUUUCCUGAUAGGAGCAUCUAUUCAUCAUAGGGAUAUAGGCUGUUGGUUUCCUGUGCCUGUCACGUUAUCUUAUGUUCUUGGUAGUAGCACUUUUCCUACUAUAUAACUAGUCGAACGGCUCGGUGUGCAGCUCGACAACCGGUGCGUCAUGUGCAAACGACUUCAGGAAGACGGAUCCCACUUGUUCUUGCGAUGCAAGUUUGUGAAGAAAAUCUGGAGAGCCUGUUUGCUCAAGUGGACUCGCCAAAAGUUGCUUAUUUAAUUGUCAAUCUGUUAAAGAAGUACUACAAGAGGUCUUUAAGUUGCGUGAGGAUUCUUGCCUGCGUACGAUCUGUCUCAUGUGGUUGUGGUGGUCAGAGCGUAACAAAGUUAACCAUGGCAAGCAGCGACUGGAGUUGGACGCGUUCGAAGCUAAUGUCAGUCACACCGUUAGUGAAUGAAAGGAGCUUCUGAGCUGCAAAAAUGCUGUGAAGUCUACGAGUGAACAUAAGUGGUCUCCGCCACCCGCAGAAUUCAUAAAGCUGAAUCUUGAUGCUUCAUUCCAUGCGUCCACCGGAAGAGGAGGAUGGGGUGUUAUUGCACGUGAUGCAGAAGAUGUUGUGUUGGCGGCAGUAGGACCGUUGAGGAACCAAAAUUCUGCUAUACAGGCUGAAGCUGAAGCUCUUCUUCAGGCUAUUAGGAUGGCGGAAGCAGCAGGGUAUAGAUAGUUUCGUUUAAACUGUAUCUAUCUCUAUCUCUGUUUCUUCUCCUCUUCUCGUUAACCUCCUGUAACCGACUUGACUUGAGAUCGAUCUCUUGAUCUCUCUCUAUCUUGUACUCCAAGGCAUUGCCACUAUAUAUAAACACUAGAACAUAAAAGCGCGCGUUGCCGCGCUCGACCAUCUUGAAAACAUGAUGGUAGAAAUAUUUGAGAAAAUUAAGUAAAGAGAUCUGACUGACAAUUCCGCAAUAUGGACGGGAUAUGUUCAAAGUCUUGGCUGCAGAAGAUUUGACAUUAUUUGAUUGCAUACAUUAGCACAGAUUUGUUCAAAAACAAUAGAAGAGAUAAUUGAAGAUUCAAACUCAAGAUUGACACCGCACAACACAUGCUUUACAAAAGAACCACGCGAGGAAUUGGGAAGAAGCCUUAUGUAGGGUUAACAUAUUGUCCAUGGAGCAUGCAUAAAAUAUGACAUUUGGUACUCUGAAUCGUCUUUUUUGAGCUAACUAAAAACAAGGUUAUCAUUCGGAUGUUUGAACCGACAUUACACUACACAAUACUGAGAGCAAGAUAAAUGCGACAAGAAAAAAUGCAUAUGGUGUAACAACCACGUCUAUGCAAAUAUGUGUUUUCUAAAUCGUAGGUAUGCAGAAAUCAUAGGUAUAGUGUAACAUACUACAAUAGCUAAUUUGAAAUUUCUUUCGGCAGAAAAUAAAUUUCCGUCAAAAUUCUUGAACUGAAGCUAAUAAACAAUGCACUAAACUGAAGCUAAUAAUUACAUUGGUACACGAAUAUACAUAUAUAUUUUUCAAGCACAUAUAUAAGGUGUUGCCAACAGUGCACAUAUUGUAAACAUGUGAACAGGGCACAUAUUAGAGAUAACAAAAGAGCAUUUAAAUGACUAUUUGAAGAGCAGGAAUUGUCAGAACUAUAUAUCAAGAUGUCGUGGAUGGAAUGGAGAGCAAAUGUAAAUUUACAUGAUGUACCUAAGAUAUUCAGUUGGUUAGCUCAUCCAUCUCCUCAUCACGCGAAUCGAAGUGUGAAAUUUCAGUAGUUCGUGCACAUGCAGAAACAAUUGAAUAUUAUUUACCAAUGAAACAAGUUUAUUUAUUGAAACAAGAUGAUUUAUCGAAACAAGUUUAUGUCACGGAAGUAAGCUACCAAAUCUUAAAGCAUUAAAAAAUCAUGGGCUAUCACAGCUGCAAGAAACUAAUGCACAUAAGUACAGACCUGCAGAUUUAUUAUAUAACAAACCAGAACUAAGAAAAUACAUUCUUUCUAUUCAGUGUUGCAGAGUAAAUUAGAGACAAAAGAUGGUCCUUUAGAGUUCCUUUUUCUGUGUAUGCAUGAGUUUAGAAUACAGUUGAGCAUGGAUUCAUGGAAGAUCUUUGGAUGUUAAAAAAAUACUACUCUAUUUUACAAUCCGAAGUGGAAGUAAUUUGUCCUCCAUCAGGAUCGAAUGAAUCUCGAUAGGAGCUCACCAGUGGCAGGGAAGUGGACUUGAACGAGAGGAAGCACCACGCCAUGAGCUUGGAUGCCAGUGUGAUGCCAAUUCUAAUCUAUGAUUGUUUGCUACCAUGAAAACUGAAACAUAAGAAAUUGUGAAUUAUAGCACAAAAUGUUAGUACCACCAUUCAACGUCAUGAAUUUCUCAGGAAAAACAUACAACGUCAUGAAUAGAGAAAAGCUAGCCCAUCCAAGCAAGACCAAUUAGGAUUACUGUGAGCAGUACAAUAUGUGGAUGUGUACGUGGAGCUAAUCUCUGCAUCUAGUCAUGUACGUGGAGCUAAGCUCUACAAGUCUGCAUCUAGUCAUCUACACGAUGAAGUCACAAUCACAGUGCUCUAGAUUACCUAGAACCUGCUCCCUGAUCGAACCAAUCUAUCCAUUGUAUAGUCUCACACAAGAUUCAUCCAUCAGGAAGGCCAACAAUCAAAACCCGCCGCACAGCACAAGAGUGGAAGGGUAGGGAUUGUGUGUGCGUACUUUAACGCAACAACGUAGCAGUAGGCACCAUGGCCAAUGUAUAAUUAGAGGAAAAGUAGGAUGGGGAGGGAUGUUGAUCUAGCGAAUGAACGGGAGUAGGGCAAGAGGAGGCUGGAAAGGGGCGGCGGUGACGGGAAGAAACGUCGGGUGAACACACGCGGCGUGGGGGAGAGAGGCAAAAUCAUUUACCCACUUUCUGGGCCUGGGCUAUGUACGUUUUUCUAGGUUGGCGGCCCGAUUAACAGGAGAAUGCCCAGGUCAACCUGUGGAGCAGCGGCCCGGUUACAGUGGGUCGCAACCCAUGAGACGGGGGAAACGCUCGGGCGCGAGGGCUGAACGACCGAAAGAUCUGGAGCGUUCAGUGGCGGGAUCCGACAGCAGAAGAUCCCAAAUCGAUGUGGGACGGCGUAGCUAGGCUCAUUAUACUGUUUCUCAAUGCGUCCCGAGACAAAGGGUUCAACGCUUCCAACCCAAUUUACAUGGUAAUCAGAGCAUCUUCCUCUCAGAUCGAAGAUCGCAUCUAGCUACCUUCCCGCGGCCGAGAGCAUGUCUUCCUCCGCAGCCCUAUCUUCCACCACGAGCGCACUUUCCUCCUUCAUGGCCUCCACCUUCGCCUCAUCAUCUAGCAGCAGCUCUAUCCCUCUCGGACCGCUACCACAAGAGAAGCUAAGAAGGGGAAACUUCCUCUUAUGGAAGGCCGUCGUGCUCCCAAAAAUCCGUGGCGCACAGAUGGAGCACCACCUUGAUGGGAAGAGCCAGGAACCACCGGCCACCCUCACCAUCACUAAAGAUGGAAAAGACGAACAGGUUAUCAACUUCGCCCGAACCCUCUGGUACACACAGCAGCAGCAACUCCAGUGGUAUCUAAUGGGAUCUCUGUCCCGUGAGAUCCUCGCUCAAGUUACCACCCUUCAGACGCCAGCAGAGGUCUAGAACGCCAUCAACGCCAUGUUCGCCGCCCAGAGCCAGAGUCAGGCCAUCAACACUCGCAUCGAACUCACGAACCUGAAGAAAGGUAAUAUGUCCAUGGCAGAAUAUCUUGGCAAAAUUAAAACUCUUACAGAUGAAGUUGCAUGCUGCACCGGAGUUCCUCUUCUCGAUCCAGAGAUCGUUUCCAAGAUCAUGGCGGGUCUCGAUCUGGAGUACAAUCCAGUUGUGUCCGCUCUGUCUGCUAGGGUUGAGCCGGUCUCGGUUCAGGAGUUGUACAGCCAACUCUUGAGCUUUGAUGCUCGCCUUACCCUCCUCCACGACACCAACGUCAGGCAGUCCUCCGUCAACUCGGCGGCUCGCGGGCGCGGCCGUGGGCGCGGUCACUAGGGGCAGAACCGCAGCUCCAACGGCGGCGGGCGCGGUCGUGGCCACUACCAGGGCGAGGGUGCUCGUUCUGGUGGUGGCACCAACUCCGGAGGCGGCGACUUCAACAACAACAUGGGAGGCGGCGGCUUCAACAACAACAACAGCCGCCGCUCCUCCUCAAAUCGUCGCCCUCGCUGUCAGCUGUGCAAAAAGCCAGGCCAUGAGGUCAUGGACUGUUGGCACAUGUAUGAUGAAGACUUCGUACCCGACGCUCGUCAUGCUGCUGCAGCCAUACGUGAAGAAGGAGGAGGAGGAGACGGCGUCUUGUACAUGGACUCGGGUGCAACAGAUCAUGUCACCAGCGAGUUAGAACAACUUGCACUUCGUGAGACAUACCACGGUGGCGACCAGAUUCACACUGCGGCAAGUGGUGGGGGUAUGGAUAUUUGUCACAUUAGACAAGCUUACAUUAAUUCCCCCAACCUUAAACGUGAUCUAGUUCUUAAAGACGUCCUUCAUGUCCCACAAGCUGAUAAAAAUCUUGCAUCCAUGUCUCGACUAGCCACUGAUAAUAAUGUCUUCUUUGAAACUCACCCUUGUUACUUCUUUAUAAAGGACCGGGCAACGAGGGAACUUCUUCAUCACGGUAGAUGCGUUGGAGGGCUCUACCACAUCACAUCCGGAGCUUUCAGUCGCAACCGGCGUCAAGUUUAUUCCGCCACUAAACCCUCCUUGGAAAGGUGGCAUCAAAGAUUAGGACACCCAUCAUCAAUCAUAGUUAAGCAAGUAGUCAAUAAGGACAAACUUUCUUUGUCACAUAGUCAAAAUAGUGAGUCAAUUUGUGAAGCUUGUCAGUGUGCCAAGAGCCACCAACUUCCCUAUCCCAAGUCAAGUAGUGUGUCUCAUGCUCCUUUAGAGCUUAUUUUCAGUGAUGUAUGGGGUCAUGCAAGAGAUUCAUUUGGAAGAAAUAAAUACCAUGUUAGUUUUAUUGAUGAUUAUAGAAAUUCACUUGGAUUUAUUUACUCAAGUAUAAGUCUGAGGUUUUCUCUAUCUUCCAAGAAUUUCAGAAACUGGUUGAAAGAUACUUUAACAGAAAAAUUCUCACAGUCCAAAGUGACUGGGGAGGGGAGUAUGAAAUACUCAAGUCCUUCUUCCGUACCAUAGGGAUUCAGCAUCAUGUGUCUUGCCCUCAUGCUCAUCAACAGAACGGUUCUGCUGAGCGCAAACACCGUCACAUUGUUGAAGUUGGUCUCUCUCUACUUGCUCAUGCGUCUAUGCCUCUAAAAUAUUGGGAUGAAGCAUUUAUGACAGCAACAUAUCUCAUUAAUCGUCUACCAAGCAAAGUUAUUGGCAACUCAACUCCUUUGGAACGUCUCUACCACCAAAAACCAGACUACAAUUCCCUCAAAAUCUCUGGGUGUGCUUGCUACCCUAACUUACGUUCGUAUAAUCAUCACAAACAUGAAUUCCGUUCCACUCAAUGUGUGUUUCUAGGCUACAGUAAUCUGCACAAAGGAUACAAGUGCCUAGAAAUUUCCACCGGACGUAUAUAUAUUUCUAGAGAUGUAGUCUUUGAUGAAACUCGCUUUCCAUUUGCCAAACUUCAUCCCAAUGCAGGCGCUCUUCUUCGUGCCGAAAUAGCACUUCUUCCGGAUCUUGACACCUUAUCUAAUCAAGGGGGUGAAUUACCUGAAGCUGACCAUGUGAACAAAUCCAGAGAAAAUUGCAGUUAUAAUGAUAUUUGUACAGAUGCAGCUCAUCAUUUUAUGUGUACAGAAACAGCCAAAAUAGGUGCUGCAGAUCACGAGGAGGAUUCUGGCGGCAGCAGGCGAUCUGGCGCGCGAUCCCAGGCGGAUCCUGGCGCCAGAGCCAGCGCAUGAUCCGAGGAGGAUCCUGUCCGCCUCCAUGCAGAGACGGUGCGUGCCUCGGUGGUUGAUAGCGACCGUGCGGAGCCCACCAGCGCGGGCGGGACCGGGAGCGAAUCCCCGCUUGCCACGACUUCGCGGGCCAUGAGGGUGGCCGACCAGCCGCCCGAUCGGGCGACCGCGACAGGGUCCAGCCCACGGGCCUCGGUGCGCACGACACCCCGUGCGGAAUCCUCAGACGACACGCGGCCUGCUGCUGUUGAUGGCGCAAUCCCGAGGCCGAUCCUGCUCACAGAAGAUCCGGCGCGCGAUCCAGCGGCUGCUUCGACUGCUGGGCGUGUGCAGGAUCUUGGAUCUUCUGUGGCGGCCUCUUCUGCUGCGCAAGUUAUUCCUCGACGCCAUACACGGUCACAAUCAGGUAUUACUAAUGAAAAGGAAUAUAAAGAUGGCACCAUUAGGUAUGAUUAAAAACGUGCUUUUCUCACUACUACUGGUGAACCAGUUAAUCUUGUUGAUGCCCUUGCUCACAAAGAUUGGAAAGAGGCUAUGGAUAGUGAGUAUGAUGCACUUAUGAAAAAUAAAACAUGGCAUCUAGUACCUUCAAAAAGUGGAAUGAAUGUCAUUGAUUGUAAAUGGGUGUACAAGAUAAAAAGGAAGUCAGAUGGAAGUAUAGACAGGUACAAGGCUAGGUUAGUUGCUAAAGGUUUUAAGCAAAGGUUUGGAAUUGACUAUGAGGAUACCUUUAGUCCAGUCGUUAAAUCAGCCACCAUUCCACUUGUCUUGUCUAUUGCUGUUUUCAGAGGUUGGAGCUUAAGACAGCUAGAUGUUUUCAGAACGCGUUUCUUCAUGGUGUUCUUGAGGAAGAGGUGUUCAUGCGGCAGCCACCAGGUUAUGAAAACAAAGGUACACCAAACUAUGUUUGUAAAUUGGAGAAAGCUUUGUAUGGCUUAAAACAGGCGCCAAGAGCUUGGUAUUCACGAUUGAGCAUGCAACUACAACAAUUUGGGUUUGUACCAUCCAAGGCAGAUACAUCCUUGUUCUUUUACAAUAAAGGAAAUGUCACUAUUUUUGUGCUAGUUUAUGUUGAUGAUAUUAUUGUUGCUAGCUUGAGUUCAAGUGCCACCACUUGUUUGCUUAAAGAUCUUAAGUUGGAAUUUGCUCUCAAGGACUUGGGAGAUCUUCAUUAUUUUCUUGGUAUUGAGGUCAAGCAGAUAAGAGAUGGUAUACUUCUGACACAGGAGAAAUACACAGCUGAUAUACUCAGGAGAGUCAGCUUGGAAAAAUGUAAACCUGUAAGUACACCUAUCUCAACUUCUGAAAAACUUCCUGUUGAAAGUGGAGAGCCACUUGGGUCAGAGGAUGCAACGAAUUACAGGAGUGUUGUGGGUGCAUUGCAAUAUUUGACACUUACACGUCCUCACAUUUCUUAUGCUGUCAACAAGGUAUGUCAGUACUUACAUGCUCCUAGCACCACUCAUUGGACUGCAGUUAAGAGAAUUUUGAGGUACCUUAAGUUUUCAGAAGGACUUGGACUUCAAAUUACCAAGUCUUCUUCUAUGCUUGUUACUGCCUACUCUGAUGCAGACUGGGCAGGAUGUAUUGAUGAUAGAAGGUCAACUGGUGGAUUUGCUGUAUUUCUGGGAUCCAAUCUUGUGUCAUGGAGUGCAAGAAAGCAGGCUACAGUCUCUAGAUCAAGUACUGAGGCUGAAUACAAAGCUUUGGCAAAUGCCACAGCUGAAGUAAUGUGGAUACAAACACUGCUUUAUGAACUUGGAAUUAAGACUCCAAAAGCAGCCAGAUUAUGGUGUGAUAAUAUUGGUGCAACAUAUCUGUCAGCUAAUCCUGUUUUUCAUGCACGCACAAAGCAUAUUGAAGUUGAUUUCCACUUUGUCAGAGAAAGAGUAGCUAGAAAGCUUCUCGAAAUUCAGUUCAUUCCUACUGGAGAUCAACUCGCGGAUGGUUUCACAAAGCCUCUCACUAUGAGGAGGCUAGACGAGUUCAAGUACAAUCUCAACCUUGGUCGAAGUUCAUGAGGUUUAGAUUGAGGGGGGUGUUAGAAUAUGUAUAGGAUAGAUAGUUUCGUUUAAACUGUAUCUAUCUCUAUCUCUGUUUCUUCUCCUCUCCUCGUUAACCUCCUGUAACCGACUUGACUUGAGAUCGAUCUCUUGAUCUCUCUCUAUCUUGUACUCCAAGGCAUUGCCACUAUAUAUAAACAUGCGGCCCGAGACAAAGGGUUCAACGCUUCCAACCCAAUUUACAGGGAUGUGUUAUCUUUGAAACGGACUGCUUACCUCUACAGUAGGCCAUCUCGUCUAUGGCUGCCGACCGUGGACCUCUUGGGGUGAUAUUCCGGGAAACCAAGUUCCAGCUGAGCUUAGGUUUUAUUGAGCACAAAGUACUCUUCGGCUCAAGGCAGACAAAUGGGGCAGCGCAUGUGCUUGCCUCUCAUGGUUGCGGGUGUCCCCCAUAUGACAAGUAUGUCUGGUAUAUGGACCUCGCAAUUGAUGUAAGCCGUGUUGUGACCGUGUGCCGAUAUGGUUGGUCCUGCAUAAUUGUGGAAUGCCAGGUGUUCCAGUUCAAAAAAAAAAAGUAGUAUCAGUUUGGAUGUUCUCAGAGUAUGAAGAAUCUAUGUUUUUUUU